rnacentral:rRNA from 1 species
UACGUAGGGUGCAAGCGUUGUCCGGAAUUAUUGGGCGUAAAGAGCUCGUAGGCGGCUUGUCGCGUCGGCUGUGAAAACCUGGGGCUCAACCCCGGGCCUGCAGUCGAUACGGGCAGGCUAGAGUUCGGCAGGGGAGACUGGAAUUCCUGGUGUAGCGGUGAAAUGCGCAGAUAUCAGGAGGAACACCGGUGGCGAAGGCGGGUCUCUGGGCCGAUACUGACACUGAGGAGCGAAAGCGUGGGGAGCGAACAGG